rnacentral:rRNA from 1 species
AGAGUUUGAUCCUGGCUCAGAAUCAACGCUGGCGGCGCGCUUAACACAUGCAAGUCGCACGAGAAAGGGAGCAAUCCUGAGUAAAGUGGCGUACGGGUGAGUAACACGUGGAUCAUCUACCUUUUAGUGGGGAAUACCUCCGGGAAACUGGAGACAAUACCGCAUAAGCUCGUGAGAGGAAAGCAGCAAUGCGCUGAAAGAGGAGUCCGCGGCUGAUUAGCUAGUUGGCGGGGUAACGGCCCACCAAGGCGAAGAUCGGUAGCCGGCCUGAGAGGGCACACGGCCACACUGGCACUGAAACACGGGCCAGACUCCUACGGGAGGCAGCAGUGGGGAAUCUUGCACAAUGGGGGAAACCCUGAUGCAGCGACGCCGCGUGAGCGAUGAAGCCCUUCGGGGUGUAAAGCUCUUUCGACGGGAACGAUAAUGACGGUACCCGAAGAAGAAGCUGCGGCUAACUACGUGCCAGCAGCCGCGGUAAUACGUAGGCAGCAAGCGUUGUUCGGAAUUACUGGGCGUAAAGAGUGUGUAGGCGGUGUUCUAAGUCUGUUGUGAAAUCUCCCGGCUCAACUGGGAGGGUGCGGCGGAGACUGGAAUGCUAGAGUAUGGGAGAGGUAAGCGGAAUUCCUGGUGUAGCGGUGAAAUGCGUAGAUAUCAGGAGGAACACCUGUGGUGUAGACAGCUUACUGGACCAUGACUGACGCUGAGACACGAAAGCGUGGGUAGCAAACAGGAUUAGAUACCCUGGUAGUCCACGCCCUAAACGAUGCAUACUUGGUGUGAGCCAUUCAUUUGGUUCGUGCCGGAGCUAACGCGUUAAGUAUGCCGCCUGGGGAGUACGGUCGCAAGGCUGAAACUCAAGGAAUUGACGGGGGCCCGCACAAGCGGUGGAGCAUGGUGGUUCAAUUCGACGCAACGCGAAGAACCUUACCUU